UACAGAGGGUGCGAGCGUUGUCCGGAAUCACUGGGCGUAAAGGGCGCGUAGGUGGUGGCUUAAGCGUGCGGUGAAAGCUCGGAGCUCAACUCCGAGUCGGCCGUGCGAACUGGGCUCACUGGAGCAUAGUAGAGGCAGGUGGAAUUCCGGGUGUAGCGGUGGAAUGCGUAGAGAUCCGGAAGAACACCGGUGGCGAAGGCGGCCUGCUGGGCUAUGGGCUGACACUGAGGCGCGACAGCGUGGGGGAGCAAACAGG
rnacentral:rRNA from 1 species